rnacentral:rRNA from 1 species
CGGGUGAGUAAUACAUCGGAACGUGUCUUCUAGUGGGGGAUAACUGCCCGAAAGGGCAGCUAAUACCGCAUGAGACCUGAGGGUGAAAGCGGGGGAUCGCAAGACCUCGCGCUGGAAGAGCGGCAGAUGUCCGAUUAGCUAGUUGGUGAGGUAAAGGCUCACCAAGGCGACGAUCAGUAGCCGACCUGAGAGGGUGAUCGGCCACAUUGGGACUGAGACACGGCCCAA